GGGAAGGUGGCUCAGUGGUAGAGUGCUUGCUUUGCAUACAUGAGGCCCUGGGUUCAAUUCCUCAGCACCCA
rnacentral:tRNA from 1 species